UACGGAGGGUGCGAGCGUUGUCCGGAUUUAUUGGGUUUAAAGGGUGCGUAGGUGGCUGAUUAAGUCAGUGGAUGAAAUACAGGCCGCUCAACGGUUGAGGUGCCAUUGAUACUGAUCAGCUUGAAAGAAUUGGAGGCUGCCGGAAUGGAUGGUGUAGCGGUGAAAUGCAUAGAUAUCAUCCAGAACACCGAUUGCGAAGGCAGGUGGCUACGAAUUUAUUUGACACUGAGGCACGAAAGCAUGGGGAGCAAACAGG
rnacentral:rRNA from 1 species